rnacentral:rRNA from 1 species
GACGAACGCUGGCGGCGUGCUUAACACAUGCAAGUCGAACGGUGAAGCUCCAGCUUGCUGGAGUGGAUAAGUGGCGAACGGGUGAGUAACACGUGAGCAACCUGCCCCUGACUCUGGAAUAAGCGCUGGAAACGGCGUCUAAUACUGGAUACGAGAAGGGUCCGCAUGGGCACUUUCUGGAAAGUUUUUCGGUUGGGGAUGGGCUCGCGGCCUAUCAGCUUGUUGGUGAGGUAAUGGCUCACCAAGGCGACGACGGGUAGCCGGCCUGAGAGGGCGACCGGCCACACUGGGACUGAGACACGGCCCAGACUCCUACGGGAGGCAGCAGUGGGGAAUAUUGCACAAUGGGCGAAAGCCUGAUGCAGCGACGCCGCGUGAGGGAUGACGGCCUUCGGGUUGUAAACCUCUUUCAGCAGGGAAGAAGCGAAAGUGACGGUACCUGCAGAAGAAGCACCGGCUAACUACGUG